UAAUGAAAAGAUAAUCAUCAAAUACAUCUAUUUAGCCAAAAACCCCAUCAUUUUUGGACAGUUUUAGCAAAAGCCGCUGUUCUAAAUAAUUACCAUAAAAAGGAAUGGUAAUUUUAUAACGACGAAGAAAAACACAAAAAGUAUUGACCUAGCGAAACAGAUCGGUACACUGCUCGUCGCUCUUGUUCCACCAAAUUAAGAGUCUCGGCAAAAAAAUAGGCGGUGUAAACUCAGUCUACGAACGCGAAGUAUGAAAAACAUGAAAAUUGAAUUUUAAUUCCUGGCUGUUCACACUGCGCCAUUUUAAAUUCUGUUUGAGUUUAGGGCAUUAGUUGUGUGAAAAUCGGUUAAAGAAGAUUGUAGCUAAAAAUGAUUUUAAUGCCAUAAUGUCAAACUUGUGCAUUAGGAUUAAGACAUCGACUCGGAUCACUAUCUUGUAGCUGUGUGUAUCAAUGUCAAUGUCGGUCAACAAAUCAAAAUAAAUUGCAACCGGCAGCCGAAAAGUUAUUCGCUCGACUUGCUCGACGAGAACUUUACCGCUUACGGAAACAAUUAUUUUUUGGUAGUGCCAGAAAAAAAUCUGGGACGAUGAGAAAUGCCGAGCUGUAAUGGAGAGAAAACAGACUGCCUAUAUCUUAAGCUGCGAUCGACCACUACACGUGCCAGUUAGGAUAGAUACCGCAUAGACGCAUUUGCUGAAAAAAAGAAAGAGGCCGAAAUGCGUAAGUAUGAAGAGCUUGGCAAGCUAUGAGCGAUUUCGUUUUGAACUUUUCGAUCGGGGACAACCAAGCACAGACAACUCAGGUGAGAUCGAUUAGUCACAACCCAUUGGGGAUGUUUCCUUGUGGGGGUUGAAUUUUGCGAUAGCUUAGUUUAGUUUUCACACCGUUUCUGCGCUCACAAAAGGCCUCAUUAGUCACAUCUUCCUUUUCUUCCGUCGGGCGAACUAAUAUGGAAAAAAUUUCAUUUUGAUGCCAGUUUUCAUUUCAACGAGGACAUCAAACAGCUGAGCAGAGGCACCUACCCAAUUAUGGGGUCGUUAUCAGAAGGGCGUAUCUCAUCCGAGGUAUGUAUUAAUUUUUCAUUGGAGCUGGUUUCUACGUAGCGAGUUAUAAACCCAGCGCACCACUUCGUUAGGCAAGUACCAUUGCUGAACAGGUAAACCAAAUAAAUCGUAGUGGCUCCACUUAUGCUUCCUUUCAUUUAGCCGGGACCUAAGACUCUACACGUGUUGGUUACGCAUGAGUAGGAAUUGAGUAAAGCCCCGCAUCUGUAACUGCAUACCCAGAAGCUUGACUUCACCCCAUCACACCAAAGAGUGCCAUCAUUUGCAAAAUUUUGUGUUUCUAAUACCUUAUAUAAGGUUAAUUUACAGAAAACUUACUUCACCUUGCUGGAAAAUUACUUGAUAUUUAUUGUUUUAGUUAUUAAUAAAAUUGAAAUUAAUCAAUAUGAAUUUAAU